rnacentral:rRNA from 1 species
GAUGACCUCUGGCGGCAUGCCUAAUACAUGCAAGUCGAACGAGAGGAAGGAAAGCUUGCUUUCCUAAAUCUAGUGGCGAACGGGUGAGUAACACGUAGGUAACCUGCCCAUGUGCCCGGGAUAACUUCUGGAAACGGAUGCUAAAACCGGAUAGGUAGCAGACAAGCAUUUGACUGCUAUUAAAGUGGCUAAGGCCAUGAACAUGGAUGGACCUGCGGUGCAUUAGCUAGUUGGUGAGGUAACGGCCCACCAAGGCGACGAUGCAUAGCCGGCCUGAGAGGGCGGACGGCCACAUUGGGACUGAGACACGGCCCAAACUCCUACGGGAGGCAGCAGUAGGGAAUUUUCGUCAAUGGGGGGAACCCUGAACGAGCAAUGCCGCGUGAGUGAGGAAGGUCUUCGGAUCGUAAAGCUCUGUUGUAAGAGAAAAACGGCACUCAUAGGGAAUGAUGAGUGAGUGAUGGUAUCUUACCAGAAAGUCACGGCUAACUACGUGCCAGCAGCCGCGGUAAUACGUAGGUGGCGAGCGUUAUCCGGAAUGAUUGGGCGUAAAGGGUGCGUAGGUGGCAGAUCAAGUCUGGAGUAAAAGGUAUGGGCUCAACCCGUACUUGCUCUGGAAACUGAUCAGCUAGAGAACAGAAGAGGACGGCGGAACUCCAUGUGUAGCGGUAAAAUGCGUAGAUAUAUGGAAGAACACCGGUGGCGAAGGCGGCCGUCUGGUCUGGAUUCUGACACUGAAGCACGAAAGCGUGGGGAGCAAAUAGGAUUAGAUACCCUAGUAGUCCACGC